rnacentral:misc_RNA from 1 species
GAUGAAGAACGUAGUGAAAUGCGAUAAGUAAUGCGAAUUGCAGAAUUUCCGUGAAUCAUCGAAUCUUUGAACGCACAUUGCGCCCGCCAGUAUUCUGGCGGGCAUGCCUGUUCGAGCGUCAUUUCAACCCUCAAGCCCCCGGGCUUGGUGUUGGGGAUCGGCGUGCCCUCGCGGCGCGCCGUCCCCUAAAUCUAGUGGCGGUCUCGCUGUAGCUUCCUCUGCGUAGUAGCAACACUCGCACUGGAUCGCAGCGCGGCCACGCCGUUAAACCCCCCACUUCUGAAAGUUUGACCUCGGAUCAGGUAGGAAUACCCGCUGAACUUAAGCAUAUCAAUAAGCGGAGGA